rnacentral:rRNA from 1 species
UACGAAGGGGGCUAGCGUUGCUCGGAAUCACUGGGCGUAAAGGGUGCGUAGGUGGCGCCGUAAGUCGGAUGUGAAAUUUCGGAGCUUAACUCCGAAACUGCAUUCGAUACUGCGGUGCUUGAGGACUGGAGAGGAGACUGGAAUUCAUGGUGUAGCAGUGAAAUGCGUAGAGAUCAUGAGGAAGACCAGUGGCGAAGGCGGGUCUCUGGACAGUUCCUGACACUGAGGCACGAAGGCCAGGGGAGCAAACGGG